GAGUGAUGAAGGUUUUCGGAUCGUAAAGCUCUGUUGUUAGGGAAGAACAAGUGCAAGAGUAACUGCUUGCACCUUGACGGUACCUAACCAGAAAGCCACGGCUAACUACGUGCCAGCAGCCGCGGUAAUACGUAGGUGGCAAGCGUUGUCCGGAAUUAUUGGGCGUAAAGGGCUCGCAGGCGGUUUCUUAAGUCUGAUGUGAAAGCCCCCGGCUCAACCGGGGAGGGUCAUUGGAAACUGGGAAACUUGAGUGCAGAAGAGGAGAGUGGAAUUCCACGUGUAGCGGUGAAAUGCGUAGAGAUGUGGAGGAACACCAGUGGCGAAGGCGACUCUCUGGUCUGUAACUGACGCUGAGGAGCGAAAGCGUGGGGAGCGAACAGGAUUAGAUACCCUGGUAGUCCACGCCGUAAACGAUGAGUGCUAAGUGUUAGGGGGUUUCCGCCCCUUAGUGCUGCAGCUAACGCAUUAAGCACUCCGCCUGGGGAGUACGGUCGCAAGACUGAAACUCAAAGGAAUUGACGGGGGCCCGCACAAGCGGUGGAGCAUGUGGUUUAAUUCGAAGCAACGCGAAGAACCUUACCAGGUCUUGACAUCCUCUGACAACCCUAGAGAUAGGGCUUUCCCUUCGGGGACAGAGUGACAGGUGGUGCAUGGUUGUCGUCAGCUCGUGUCGUGAGAUGUUGGGUUAAGUCCCGCAACGAGCGCAACCCUUGAUCUUAGUUGCCAGCAUUCAGUUGGGCACUCUAAGGUGA
rnacentral:rRNA from 1 species